rnacentral:lncRNA from 1 species
GGAGUCAGUUCUCCCUCAGGCGGCCCCCGGCGCCUUCCCGCUUUACCUUCCCCAAGGCUGAAGCCCUCGAGCCGGCUGCGGCGCUGGGUCCUGCGGCGUUCCGGAUGUUGCUUCCUCUCCUUCCUGCUCCCGGACGCUAACUCAACUUUUUGUUAAGCAAAUUCUCACCUCGCAAUCCAACUGGAUGCUCCAAGGAAUAUUUAUUGAGCGCCCCCAUGUGUCAGGCCCUAGGUGACCAGGCAUCCCCCAAGAACUGGUGGCCGGGCUUCACCAGGUACACCUCUGCAGGAACUGCUGUCUCUGGCACUGAGAGGGUAGACUUCCAGAACAUUCUAGAGAACAAAUCUCCAGCGAGUCCCACUGGCACAGCACCACAGUGACUUCUCUGCCACCUAGCAAACUGUGGAAGUACUCCGAUGAGGUCUGGAUCUCAGCUCUGAGGAAAGGAAGAAGAAGGCCUUUGUUUUGUUAUGUUUUUAUGGGUAAGACUAGCCAGUCUCUUGAUAUUCCAGUUCCCUGUGAUAGUUUACAUUUUGUUG